rnacentral:misc_RNA from 1 species
CCAUUAAACCAUAUCGGGCGUUGUAAAAAUCCCUCCCUCGGGGGGGUCACGCUGUCGACACCCUUUGCCUAUGUGUACCUCUUGUUGUUUCCUCGGUGGGCUCGCCCACCGAUAGGAAUCCCCUAAACCCUUGUAUCUAUAAGCAUCAAAACUCUGAUAACCACAUAAAUAAUCA